GUGUGAGACAAAGGGCGGCGGGGGCCGCGGCUACGCGCUGCUCCCUCCAAACGGGAAGCGUCGUGGAGAAACUACAGCGUGGCCCGCUUCCAGGCUGUCUGCCCCUUCCCACCCCCACCCCCAGCACGCAGUCCCUCGGAGAGCGCUGGGACUUUUCCACGGGGCAGGCAAAUUUUAAGUGCAUCGCACACGCUGAGAUCUGUCUGCACUGAAUUGUGAGAAUUAAAAAAA